CUUUUUGAGUUUUGUUUUCUUGGUUUCAGGACGAAUCGCUGUUGGACGUGCCUUAAUACAUCCAAGUCGAGCGAACAGAGAAGGUAGCUUGCUCCUUCGACGUUAGCGGCGGACGGGUGAGUAACACGUGGGCAACUUACCUUAUAGUUUCGGGAUAACUCGGGGAAACCGGGGCUAAUACCGAAUAAUCUGUUUCACCUCAUGGUGAAACACUGAAAGACGGUUUCGGCUGUCGCUAUUGGAUGGGCCCCCGGCGCAUUAGGUAGUUGGUGAGGUAACGGCUCACCAAGGCGGCGAUGCGUAGCCGACUUGAGAGGGUGAUCGGCCCCCCUGGGAAUGAGACCCGGCCCCGAAUCCUUCGGGGGGCAGCCGUAGGGAAUUUUCCCCAAUGGGGGAAAACCUGAUGGAGCACCGCCGGGUGAGUGAAGAAGGAUUUUGGUUUGUAAAACUCUGUUGUAAGGGAAGAACAAGUACAGUAGUAACUGGUUGUACCUUGACGGUACCUUACUAGAAAGCCACGGCUAAAUUCGUGCCAGCAGCCGCGGUAAUACGUAGGUGGCAAGCGUUGUCUGGAAUUAUUGGGGGUAAAGCGCGCGCAGGUGGUUUCUUAAGUUUGAUGUGAAAGUCCCCGGCUCAACCGUGGAGGGUCAUUGGAAACUGGGAGACUUGAGUGCAGAAGAGGAUAGUGGAAUUCCAAGUGUAGCGGUGAAAUGCGUAGAGAUUUGGAGGAACACCAGUGGGGAAGGGGACUAUCUGGUCUGUAACUGACACUGAGGCGCGAAAGCGUGGGGAGCAAACAGGAUUAGAUACCCUGGUAGUUCACGCCGUAAACGAUGAGUUGAUAAGUGUUAUGGGGGUUUCUCGCCCCUUAGUGCCGCAGCUAAACGCAUUAAGCACUCCCGCCCUGGAAGAUGGA
rnacentral:rRNA from 1 species